rnacentral:lncRNA from 1 species
GUUUGCAGAAAGGAGCCGGAAGCCGACACAGGACGGGCAGGGAAGGACCUUGAAAGCUGUUCUUUGGACCCAGCAAAGCCCCACCGUGGUUGGAACGUGGGUCUCUGAGUGACUGCGUGGAGAAGAACCACUACCCUCUGCCCAAUGUAUUGGUGACAUCAGUGAGCUGUAAACUGUUAUUGGACUAAGCCAUCAAGAUUUGGGCGUUUGUUUGUUACCACAGCAACACCUGCUUUGCACGGACUAAUACAUCAUGUUCACAGACA